ACCUCUAUUUCCACUUCCACCCAAGUAAUUUGAAGUGGCAGUGUAAGUAGCUGGUGA
rnacentral:pre_miRNA from 1 species